rnacentral:rRNA from 1 species
UGGGGAAUAUUGCACAAUGGGCGCAAGCCUGAUGCAGCCAUGCCGCGUGUGUGAAGAAGGCCUUCGGGUUGUAAAGCACUUUCAGCGAGGAGGAAGGUGGUGAACUUAAUACGUUCAUCAAUUGACGUUACUCGCAGAAGAAGCACCGGCUAACUCCGUGCCAGCAGCCGCGGUAAUACGGAGGGUGCAAGCGUUAAUCGGAAUUACUGGGCGUAAAGCGCACGCAGGCGGUUUGUUAAGUCAGAUGUGAAAUCCCCGGGCUCAACCUGGGAACUGCAUUUGAAACUGGCAAGCUAGAGUCUCGUAGAGGGGGGUAGAAUUCCAGGUGUAGCGGUGAAAUGCGUAGAGAUCUGGAGGAAUACCGGUGGCGAAGGCGGCCCCCUGGACGAAGACUGACGCUCAGGUGCGAAAAGCGUGGGGAGCAAACAGGAUUAGAUACCAUGGUAGUCCAGCGCUGUAAACGAUGUCGAUUUUGGAGGUUGUG